CGUGGGGGAGGAGAGCGCAGAGACAGGUGGUUGAGGGGGCGAGCGAUGAGGAACUGCAAAUGACACAGCAGAGGGAAGGCUGGCCCAGCCAAUCCCGGAGCCGCUGCAGCGCCGGUUCCCCGCACACACUGUGGCGCAGGGACGGAGAGGAGGGGGCGGCUGGCCCCGCGCCUCCCCUGCCGUUCCCCGGCCGCUCCCCGGGGAGGAGGGCAGCUGGACGGAGGCUGCCUGGGGCCAGGGUGCAAGGGUGCAGCCGCACCUCCCUGCUGCCCGGCGUGGGAAGAAGAACGCGGAGCCAGGCAAGUCUCCCUCUGUGUCCUCUGAGGUGGAAGGAGCAUGUAGAGACAGGGCUGCGGCGGCCAGCGCCCGGCCUUGCUCUGGCAUCAGCGGCCAGAGGGCUGUGCCUCCAGCCCCUUGGGUUUGGUUCUGCUCUCGGCCCGUCCCUGGCACUUGACAGCUGCGGCGUCGCCGUGCUGAUUGGUGCCACCAUGUUAUAUAACGCUUAUAUAAUCUCCCGGGGCGAGCGCUGCGUCUCCGCUCUCGGGUCGCACAGCCGCUGUGUCCGUGUGGGAGUCCGCAUCUGUGGAAGCUCGUGGGCGGACCGACACCAUCAUGCUCACCCUGGCUCCCUCUGCUCGUCCCGGCUGUAGGAAGGGACCCAGGAGAGCUCACUCCCACCGUCUGGAGCUGACCCAGAGUGGUUGGCUGGACGGCCUUCCUCCCGUUCUUGUCCCUUCCAUGUCCCCCUGGCCCCGUGGACUUUCUGAUGGAGUGGGUUCCCUUCUUGCGCUCUGAGGCCACUUUUUUGUUCUCGGGAUCCCUUGGCGUAGCAAAUGGGUAUGGUGAGAUGACCCCCCAGAAUGUUGCAGUGGAAGAAUAUACGGUACACAGGGUUGGAUAAAGAGAGCGAGAAAUGGAGGUUUUGAGCAAGAGUGACUAGAAGGAUGGGAUGAUAGUGGCCUUCUAAGAAAUCUGGAGCCGGCCUUAGGGCCAGAGGAUGGUCAGGGAAGGGUGUUCAGGGAAGUGGAUCAGACGGCAAAGAUAAACAUGGUGUUCUUUUACCGUACUCUCCACUGGGCUGUCCCUGGUUACCAGGGCAACAGAAGCAGUGAUGAAAAUCAUGCCUUUCGUUCAGUGGAAAAAUCUGGCUCCUCCCCCCACCUCUUCCUUCUCUAAUCGUGUGCAACCUACCCGAAGAGUGAUGGCUCCAGGGAUCAGAGACCCCAGUGUGUUCAUAUCAGGCCCCCUCCUUCCCCAUUUUCGGUCAUCUUUCCCUUUCCUGCGUUCCCCAUCCCCCCUAGAGCUCAAUAAUUGGCAGUUGAGGAGGAGUUGGCCUGGAUGGAGGGGGAAGGGCAUGGACGUCAUUGCAGGGCAGGGUGAGCAGAGUGCGUGGGCAGAGAUGUGGAUGCAGGAGUGGCUGGCCCACGAGGAAGGCCAGGCAUUUAUUAGCUGGAUGGAGCUUGUGCCUGGGAUGGUAG
ensembl:lncRNA